rnacentral:rRNA from 1 species
UUUAUGGAGAGUUUGAUCCUGGCUCAGGACGAACGCUGGCGGCGUGCCUAAUACAUGCAAGUCGAGCGGACUCUUACACUUU